GUUCGCGGUAGCGACGCUCGCUCUGCUUGAGCGCCUCUUGCAUUCGGACCUCAUCAUCGAUGUCGAUGGAGAUUGCAAACCAUU
rnacentral:sRNA from 1 species